rnacentral:rRNA from 1 species
UACGUAGGGAGCAAGCGUUGUCCGGAAUCAUUGGGCGUAAAGCGCGCGUAGGUGGCUCUAUAAGUCCGUUGUGAAAGUCAAAGGCUCAACCUUUGAAAGCCGAUGGAUACUGUGGAGCUAGAGUACGGAAGAGGCGAGUGGAAUUCCUGGUGUAGCGGUGGAAUGCGCAGAUAUCAGGAGGAACACCAAUAGCGAAGGCAGCACUCUGGGACGGUACUGACGCUGAGACGCGAAAGCGUGGGGAGCGAACAGG